AGUAUCACAAAUGCAGAAAAGGUAAUUGAAAUGAUGGGUGCCUCCUUACCGGAAAUUUUCCCAGGUGUGUUUGUCUUGUAUAUCUACUGAUCUUCUUGCAAUGUCAUAAUCUCAUGUGUACAAUUAAAAAUGAACAGAUUUGUGUGUCCUUGAAGAUUGUUCUAAAGUAAACAAUAGUACAGAGGUCACUUCCUGAAAAGGAACUCCUACAUUUAACCUAUUGCUAGGUUGUUUUCUAGAAACUCCCACUUAGAUAUUCCAGUAUGCACUUAAACUACAAGAAAAUUUCUGACGCUGGAAAUUUCUGUUGUCUUAUCUAUAUGAACGUGAUGUCUACUCUAUCAGUAAGAUUUACCGUUGAAUAUUUGGAACUUACACCCCUUCCGGUGAAUUUUUAUUCCACUGAUUUUGUUUCUUGGCUUAGAUUUUUGUCUGCAGUCGGAAUCUUUAUUCUAGUGUUUGGUUUGACUGGAUUUGCUUUGAUCCUUAUAUACGGGUUAUUAGUCUAAUUUGCAUCCGGAUCUUAAUAUGGUAAUCUUGUGGAAAAAACUUUUUCUCUAUCAAUAUUUUGAUUUACAGUUAUUUUCUCAACUACCAUACUGGAUAAUUUUAUUUAUAGUUUGAUCCUUGAAGUAAUAUCACCUUAUGUUUCUCUAUCAAUAUCAAAUUCUUAGUAUUUGAUAAUUUUAUUUGUUAAUACUAACUUAGUAUUAACAAAUUCUUCAUCAACUUCCGCUUUGGAAUUUAGACGUUGAUUUUAUUUCUUCGACAUCCACUUAAGGACACUAGUGUUUGUUUCUUUUUCUCUCCCGCCACAUGUCUCCAUCAAGUUCAUCAAUUUCUCUAGUUAAAAAUGAAUGAAUACCGCAGAAGAAAGUAUAAAUGACUUAGCUUUUAGCGUGUCUACCAAAACUCCGUGAUAUUUUCUUUACAUCACAUUCGGAGUACCAUAAAUAGACAUGACAAUGGUAAGUGUGUUCGUGGUUGAAUCAGAUUUUCUUUAGUUAGAUCUUGAAUAUAAGUACCUGGGUAGCAAUGGUUGAAGAAAAUUGCCGAAGAGCCUUGUGUAAAGGGGCGGGGAGGCCAGAGUGAAGGAAAGUGCAGGUAACUCAAAUAUUCUGAUGUGCGUGCGUGGAUUGGUGAAAAUCUUUCCCUUUUGCUAUUUUGCCUGUCUAUUUGUUUACUGAUUUAAUUUAUGCUCAGUGAGUCAACAUGAUUGAUAUUUCAGGCAUUUAAAAGUUCAUCUAUCUCGUUGUUGUCUUUCCUCUAAAAAAUGAGUACAGUAGUUCAAAUUGAAAGUGGCUAAGUUAUACUGCUACUAGUGACCAUAUGUAUAUAAUAUAUAUAUAUAUAGCGCUAUGUUGUUAUCAUGUGCCUCACCUUUUAGUAUGAGCUCUUAUUUUUCCUAAGAGUAUUAAAUAAAUUGAGUUUUUGAAAAAUUGGUGACAGAAAGACGAUGAACCGUCUUAUUCAUUUAGAGAGUAUCUAAAAUAUAUUAUUAGAAAAUAUUGUGGUAUGUCCAAUCAUUUGCCAAUUGCCAUUUGCUUGCCAUAAUCCUUGUUGAGGCAUGGGGGGCGUUGCUUUAUGGAAUAUUUUAUUGGUAAGAACCUCUGAUUAUCCUAAAAGAUGGACGUUUUGUGAUUUUCCUCUUACCUUUAAGCUGUAAAUUGAUUGCCAUCUAAUCACUGCUCUUAUGUCAAGGACAGAGGAAUAAACCUUGCUGAACCCAACCUGGAAAGAUUCGCCGGGAGGAAAAGGUGUCGCCAGAGUUCCUGACCGACUUUGCAUAAAACAAAUAAAGGGUGGAAAAGCAAAGGGAAUUAGGUUGGUGAGAAGAUAUUUCAGUGGACCAUUGGGAUAUUUGGCUGCCACGUUUGCACGGUACAAUAAUAACCCUUAUUAAUUUACCUUAUUUUAUGUUCCUUGCUUUGUUUUCCUUUAGAAAGUAGCAUUUGAUGUCAGCUCCUCUUUCAAUAAUUAAUCAUAUUAUAUAUGAAAUGCAGCAUCAGUCCUUCCCAUUGUGUUGCAUAUUCUGUGUUGCUAAAUUAUAAAGUUAGUUUGAUGUGAACAUUUUGCUUCAUUAACUGACAAAUUCUCUCUGAAAAUGUUGAGAAUAAUAAGAAGAAUUAGAUUUUAAUUAUUUGCAUGAAUGUCAGCAUUAGUAGUUUAAUUAUGGUCCAUACCCUAUAUUAUUUCUUUUUACCAAUAGAGCCCCCCACAAUCCAACUAAUUAAUUUAUGAAUCCCCCCACUCCCACAAGAAAGGUAAAGUGUUGAAAAGAUAUUGCAAAAAAGGGAUCAUUUUAGCUUUUUCUCCCUUCUUUUGGCACUAAUUUUUUUUACUUUUAUUGCAUCCAUGUCUUUUGAUGAAUAUAUAUUAUAAAUUGGGUGGCUGUUUGAUUGGAUUAUGGGUCGGUGUUUCUUGACCAAGUUGCAUUUAUUCAUUCAUUUGAUAGAAUAUUAAUCAUGAUUAUUAUAGCAUUUAGUUGGGUAUUUAGCAUUUUAAUCUUCAGUUAUGCUCCCAUUAACUACUUCAAUUGAUUGGGGACCCAUUGAUUGAAUCUGAUUUCACUUUGAAUUUCAACUUUUUUAAAAGUCUUGUUUUUAGAUAAUUGCAAUUUUUUAAAAGGGGUUUGUUUCUAGGUAAUUGCAACUGGAAGAUGGUGGAUUGUUUUUUUUGGUUUUUUUAAUUUUAAUCUUUC